rnacentral:rRNA from 1 species
AGCCAUGCCUAGUACGGCGAGUGAGCGGCAACAGCUCAAAUUUGAAAUCUGGCUCUUUCAGAGUCCGAGUUGUAAUUUGCAGAGGGCGCUUUGGCUUUGGCAGCGGUCCAAGUUCCUUGGAACAGGACGUCACAGAGGGUGAGAAUCCCGUACGUGGUCGCUAGCUAUUGCCGUGUAAAGCCCCUUCGACGAGUCGAGUUGUUUGGGAAUGCAGCUCUAAAUGGGAGGUAAAUUUCUUCUAAAGCUAAAUAUUGGCCAGAGACCGAUAGCGCACAAGUAGAGUGAUCGAAAGAUGAAAAGCACUUUGGAAAGAGAGUCAAACAGCACGUGAAAUUGUUGAAAGGGAAGCGCUUGCAGCCAGACUUGCUUGCAGUUGCUCAUCCGGGCUUUUGCCCGGUGCACUCUUCUGUAGGCAGGCCAGCAUCAGUUUGGGCGGUGGGAUAAAAGGUCUCUGACACGUUCCUUCCUUCGGGUUGGCCAUAUAGGGGGAGACGACAUACCACCAGCCUGGACUGAGGUCCGCGCAUCUGCUAGGAUGCUGGCGUAAUGGCUGUAAGCGGCCGUCUGACAAAAAAAAACAAAAA